GGCCCCCACACUUGGCCAGAACCAGGGCUAUUAAGAGGUUUUGAAGGCUGGUCCAAAGAACCAGGGUUGGUGGAUUAGAGUUGCUCAUGUCCUGUUGUGCCCUGUCAUGGCCUGAGCCGUGCUUAGACCAAACGGUCUUCUCUGCCUUCUCCCUUCCUUGGCUCUGGGCUCUAUCUGUGGGAUAUACCGUGGAACCCAGCUGUAGGAUGUGUUUCUCACCCUGUGAUAGGGAUGUGCCCGUGGACAGAGCUGGCAGGUGGCUGUGAAACUGGUGUUUGGUGUGGCCUGAAGCCACAGAUGGCAGCAUCUGGGGCAGACCCAAGCCUGGACUUGACUUUUCUGUUACAACUUUCCCAAAACAUUAGGGCCUCAUGCUCCCAAGACACUUGGCCGGGUAGACCAUGGCUUCUGGGGUGGCCUGCAUGGCCCUAUGUUUUCUGUUACUUGCCUUUUGCAAAGGACUCUUGCCCCUGUUCCUCCCAGUCUCCUCCUUCCCCCAUCCCAGGUGUCCCUCCCGCUUUCUCCCUGGCCUCCUGUGUGCUGUGGCUGUGGCUGGUGUGUAGCCACUUGGGGCCUGCACCCAGAGGGGUCUCCAAAGGGUGGCAGGGCCUUGUGCUGCCAGAGUGGGUACUCCCCCUUGUGGGGCCUUGCUCUGGCUGGGCUGAGUGUGCACCCACAAAGCCUGUAUCCACCUGGGCUGUUUCCACUUCCCUGCAGGACCUUCUUCUGAAGUCCAAAAGGGGAAACCAAAUUCACCGUUAGGAAACAGUGAGCUCCGGCCCCACCUCGUGAACACAAAGCCUCGGAUCAGCCUUGAGAGAGGCCACACUACACACACCAGAUGGCAUCCUUGGGACCUGAAUCUAUCACCCAGGAAUCUCAAACUCCCUUUGGCCCUGAACCAGGGCCAGAUAAGGAACAGCUCGGGCCACUCUUCUGAAGGCCAACGUGGAGGAAAGGGAGCAGCCAGCCAUUUGGGAGAAGAUCUCAAGGAUCCAGACUCUCAUUCCUUUCCUCUGGCCCAGUGAAUUUGGUCUCUCCCAGCUCUGGGGGACUCCUUCCUUGAACCCUAAUAAGACCCCACUGGAGUCUCUCUCUCUCCAUCCCUCUCCUCUGCCCUCUGCUCUAAUUGCUGCCAGGAUUGUCACUCCAAACCUUACUCUGAGCUCAUUAAUAAAAUAGAUUUAUUUUCCA
rnacentral:lncRNA from 1 species